GGGGGGGCAAGCGUUGUUCGGAAUUACUGGGCGUAAAGGGCUCGUAGGCGGCCAACUAAGUCGGACGUGAAAUCCCCAGGCUCAACCUGGGAACUGCGUCCGAUACUGGAUGGCUUGAAUCCGGGAGAGGGAUGCAGAAUUCCAGGUGUAGCGGUGAAAUGCGUAGAUAUCUGGAGGAAUACCGGUGGCGAAGGCGGCAUCCUGGACCGGCAUUGACGCUGAGGAGCGAAAGCCAGGGGAGCAAACGGGAUUAGAUACCCCGGUAGUCCUGGCCCUAAACGAUGAAUGCUUGGUGUAACGGGUAUCGAUCCCUGUUGUGCCGAAGCUAACGCAUUAAGCAUUCCGCCUGGGGAGUACGGUCGCAAGGCUG
rnacentral:rRNA from 1 species